rnacentral:rRNA from 1 species
GCGCACGGUGGAUGCCUUGGCACUAGGAGCCGAAGAAGGACGUGACAAACGACGAUAUGCCUUGGGUAGCUGUAAGUAAGCGAUGAUCCAGGGAUUUCCGAAUGGGGGAACCCAACAGGUACUACCUGUUACCCGCAUCUGUUAAGGAUGUGAGGAGGAAGACGCAGUGAACUGAAACAUCUAAGUAGCUGCAGGAAGAGAAAGCAAAAGCGAUUGCCUUAGUAGCGGCGAGCGAAACGGCAGGAGGGCAAACCGAAGAGUUUACUCUUCGGGGUUGUAGGACUGCAAUGUGGACUCAAAGAUUAUAGAAGAAUGAUUUGGGAAGAUCAGCCAAAGAGAGUAAUAGCCUCGUAUUUAAAAUAGUCUUUGUACCUAGCAGUAUCCUGAGUACGGCGGGACACGUGAAAUCCCGUCGGAAUCUGGGAGGACCAUCUCCCAACCCUAAAUACUCCCUAGUGACCGAUAGUGAACCAGUACCGUGAGGGAAAGGUGAAAAGCACCCCGGGAGGGGAGUGAAAUAGAACCUGAAACCGUGUGCCUACAACAAGUUCGAGCCCGUUAAUGGGUGAGAGCGUGCCUUUUGUAGAAUGAACCGGCGAGUUACGUUAUGAUGCGAGGUUAAGUUGAAGAGACGGAGCCGUAGGGAAACCGAGUCUGAAUAGGGCGCCAUAGUAUCAUGACGUAGACCCGAAACCAUGUGACCUACCCAUGAGCAGGUUGAAGGUGCGGUAAGACGCACUGGAGGACCGAACCAGGGCACGUUAAAAAGUGCUUGGAUGACUUGUGGGUAGCGGAGAAAUUCCAAACGAACUUGGAGAUAGCUGGUUCUCUCCGAAAUAGCUUUAGGGCUAGCGUCGACAUUAAGAUUCUUGGAGGUAGAGCACUGUUUGGGUGAGGGGUCCAUCCCGGAUUACCAAUCUCAGAUAAACUCCGAAUGCCAAUGAAUUAUGGUCGGCAGUCAGACUGCGAGUGCUAAGAUCCGUAGUCGAAAGGGAAACAGCCCAGACCACCAGCUAAGGUCCCAAAAUAAUUGUUAAGUGGAAAAGGAUGUGGGGUUGCACAGACAACUAGGAUGUUAGCUUAGAAGCAGCUAUUCAUUCAAAGAGUGCGUAAUAGCUCACUAGUCGAGUGACCCUGCGCCGAAAAUGUACCGGGGCUAAAACAAUUUACCGAAGCUGUGGAUACCUUUAUAGGUAUGGUAGGAGAGCGUUCUAUGUGUGAAGAAGGUGUACCGUGAGGAGUGCUGGAACGCAUAGAAGUGAGAAUGCCGGUAUGAGUAGCGAAAGACAGGUGAGAAUCCUGUCCACCGUAAGACUAAGGUUUCCAGGGGAAGGCUCGUCCGCCCUGGGUUAGUCGGGACCUAAGGAGAGACCGAAAGGUGUAUCCGAUGGACAACAGGUUGAUAUUCCUGUACUAGAGUAUGUAGUGAUGGAGGGACGCAGUAGGCUAACUAAAGCAGACGAUUGGAAGUGUCUGUCUAAGCAGUGAGGUGUGAACUGAGUUAAAUGCUUAGUUCUAUAACAUUGAGCUGUGAUGGGGAGCGAAGUUUAGUAGCGAAGUUAGUGACGUCACACUGCCAAGAAAAGCUUCUAGCGUUUAAACAUACUCUACCCGUACCGCAAACCGACACAGGUAGUCGAGGCGAGUAGCCUCAGGUGAGCGAGAGAACUCUCGUUAAGGAACUCGGCAAAAUGACCCCGUAACUUCGGGAGAAGGGGUGCUCUUUAGGGUUCACGCCCAGAAGAGCCGCAGUGAAUAGGCCCAAGCGACUGUUUAUCAAAAACACAGGUCUCUGCUAAACCGUAAGGUGAUGUAUAGGGGCUGACGCCUGCCCGGUGCUGGAAGGUUAAGAGGAGUGGUUAGCUUCUGCGAAGCUACGAAUCGAAGCCCCAGUAAACGGCGGCCGUAACGAUAACGGUCCUAAGGUAGCGAAAUUCCUUGUCGGGUAAGUUCCGACCUGCACGAAUGGCGUAACGACUUCCCCACUGUCUCCAGCACACACUCAGUGAAAUUGAAUUCCCCGUGAAGAUGCGGGGUUCCUGCGGUUAGACGGAAAGACCCCGUGCACCUUUACUGCAGCUUCAGAGUGGCAUUAGGAAAGAA